GCUGGUGUGGCUCAGUGGAUAGAGCACCAGCCUGUGAACUGAAGGGUCCUGGUUCGAUUCCGGUCAAGGGCA
rnacentral:tRNA from 1 species